UGCGGCUUCCAAGAACCACCAACACCACCCCCUCCCACCCUCCUCUUCCCGGCCACCCAGAAACCCUAACCUCAGUACCAUCACAACCACACUGACUAACCUCCAAAAUCCCAACCCUAAUUCUAAUUCCUCUACUGCUCCUAAUACACCAAUCAUCCUCUCCCAACAAGACCAGGUUCUCUCACACUCCACCCACCUCACGCCCCAAGAACUCCUUAAGCGUCGUUCUUACAACCUCAAGCAGCUCUCCAAAUGUUACAGAGACCACUAUUGGGCUCUAAUGGAGGAGCUUAAGAUUCAGUACAGAGACUACUAUUGGAAGUACGGUGUCAGCCCAUUCAAAGAAGACCAUCCCCUGCUACAACAACAAAAGCUAGAGCAAGGCUGCGCUGUAGAAAGUGGAGAG
rnacentral:misc_RNA from 1 species